CUGAUGUGACAUUUUCCUCUGUGACAGUAGUGGACGCAGAAGAUGCAGCUGUGGCCAAGAGGAAGUUGAGGAAAUAAAAAGAAGGAAUUGGGGGUGAACAUGUGAACUGAAAUCUUGGUGAAAGGUACAUCCAGACAUCCGGAUAAGUAGAUCCAGAUCACAGCACUGUUCCGGGAUGGCUACCAAGAUAUUCCCAAACACUCCCCAGGCACCUUUGUGGCCAUGUGCUGAUGAUGUGGUUGUUCCAGGAAGCAGUGAUUUGCUUUUGGAGAUUAGGCUGUUUGGUGACUUGCAUGAAAAAAGGGAAUCCCACCAGGACAGGCCAUCCUAUACAGCUGGAGAAGAUUUGCCUCUAGCAAAGCCACGGAUCCAGCAGGAUCCCUCUAGCCACACAAUCUUCUCCCUGGCACUACGUGGUGGUGUCAACAGUACUGUGUCCUCUGAUACCCCAAAGGAUGCCUCCAGCUCCAGAAGAUGGGUCUCAGCUAGAGAUAGAAAAAAAGCAAAGCUAAAUUUUGUUAGAUGAUUUCAAAAUGAACAUCAAUUCUUUCCUUCUGUGAAUGCUUUUCUUAUUUUCUUAGCACAGUAUGAUGUGUGAUAUCUAUCUAGAUAGCCAUGUUCUUACGUUCACAGUACCCUCUUGAGCAAAACCAGUCAUAUCAAGUAUCUAAACUCCUAGUUCCUUGAGCGUGUAUUGCUUGAAUUCAGUGUCAUUUCCUGAAGUGACUAAAUGUGUUUACGGUAGAUCCUUAUCAAUAUGCUUCUACCCAAGUAGCUAUAAGCUGGGCCUGAACAGUACGGUAUGUACCAGCUAUCUUUCCUGACA